rnacentral:rRNA from 1 species
UACGUAGGGUGCAAGCGUUAAUCGGAAUUACUGGGCGUAAAGCGUGCGCAGGCGGCUUUGCAAGACAGAUGUGAAAUCCCCGGGCUCAACCUGGGAACUGCAUUUGUGACUGCAUGGCUCGAGUGCGGCAGAGGGGGAUGGAAUUCCGCGUGUAGCAGUGAAAUGCGUAGAUAUGCGGAGGAACACCGAUGGCGAAGGCAAUCCCCUGGGCCUGCACUGACGCUCAUGCACGAAAGCGUGGGGAGCAAACAGG